AACUUCACUUCAAACAAACAAUGUAUUCAAGAAUAUAUAUAUAAUUUGAUAAAAGAACUUUGAUAAAAGUUAUCGAAGUGUAAUAAUAGUUAUACAAUUUCUUCUUAUUGUUUUCUUAUUAUUUUUAUUUGACGUUACUUUAUCAUUUCACUUGCAAAAAUUUCUAAUAAGAAAAA